GUCUGGGACUUGAUCCGCGGUCGGCAAUGUGGGAGCCCAGUGCCUUGACCACUACACCAUCUGCUGUCCCCAGAAGUGGUUUUGCACUGAAACAGUCAUAAUCAGAUGACAAGCAGGACACUUGCUUAUAAAUAUCCAACGUAACCAGCUGGGACCUAUUCCGUCUGAGUCCUGAACUGCGCACACAGAGGUGGCAGCUGUCUUCAAGCGCAGCGGGUUCUACCUGAGAGGGACUCCGCCUUCCCAGGGACAUUGGCAAUGUCAGUAAAUAUUUGUGGUUGUCAAGCUGAUAGUACCACUGUCUCGUAGUUACGGGUCAGACAUAAUUCACAGGACAAAGAACUACCCAGCUCCGAAGGGACUCUCAGGCAGGUGACCUGCUGGUAAAACACAGAGAUGGGCUGAUACUGCCUUUGUAAUCACUGAAAGGCAGAGGAGAAUAUCUAGGUCUUCCAGACAGAAGCGGCCAGCAUGGAGGCCCUGCUCAACCUGAACGAGGAGCGAGGCUCGUCCAGGAAACCUGCUGUGCACCUGCGGCCCAACGCCUGGCCUCAAAGACAAGAAGGGGGAAGCCCUUCCUCAUGAUGCCUCAAAUGUACUCCUGGUGGCGAACCUGUGUGAGAAAUCACAGCCUCUAAAGGUUUCUAUUUCCCAUUGUUCUUUCUGCUCACCGGGCAGCAGAACGGCAAGUGCAAAGGCUGGCCUGAGUGCACAGAGAGCAGACACGCAUGACACCGGUGAACAAGGGCACACCCAGCUUCUUCACAACACGUACGACACCCAGGGAACAAGGGCACACCCAGCUUCUUCACAGCAUGUAUGACACCGGUGAACAAGGGCACACCCAGCUUCUUCACGACACGGAUGACACCGGUGAACAAGGGCACACCCAGCUUCUUCACGACACGGAUGACACUGGCGAAACAGGGCACACCC